rnacentral:other from 1 species
UAAAUCCUGAGAUGUUCGCAAGGCUUAUAUCGUUCAACCACAGUAAUUAAUAGGGAUUUUCAAUAGUUCUAAAGGAUGUCAGGCUUCCUUAGAUUGAAGUAGGCAGAGAGUAGAUGAGUAAAACCCACCUGCGAGAGUGCGGGUGUGAACAAGUAAGCUAACGGCAUAUUGGGGAUGUA